AUGAACGCUGGCGGCGUGCCUAAUACAUGCAAGUCGAGCGAACAGACGAGGAGCUUGCUCCUCUGACGUUAGCGGCGGACGGGUGAGUAACACGUGGAUAACCUACCUAUAAGACUGGGAUAACUUCGGGAAACCGGAGCUAAUACCGGAUAAUAUAUUGAACCGCAUGGUUCAAUAGUGAAAGACGGUUUUGCUGUCACUUAUAGAUGGAUCCGCGCCGCAUUAGCUAGUUGGUAAGGUAACGGCUUACCAAGGCGACGAUGCGUAGCCGACCUGAGAGGGUGAUCGGCCACACUGGAACUGAGACACGGUCCAGACUCCUACGGGAGGCAGCAGUAGGGAAUCUUCCGCAAUGGGCGAAAGCCUGACGGAGCAACGCCGCGUGAGUGAUGAAAGUCUUCGGAUCGUAAAACUCUGUUAUUAGGGAAGAACAAAUGUGUAAGUAACUAUGCACGUCUUGACGGUACCUAAUCAGAAAGCCACGGCUAACUACGUG
rnacentral:rRNA from 1 species